rnacentral:rRNA from 1 species
GACGAACGCUGGCGGCGUGCCUAAUACAUGCAAGUCGAACGCAGGGGGGACGGGUGAGUAACACGUGGGUAACCUCGCAUCAGAGGGGAUAACACUUGGAAACAGGUGCUAAACCGAUACUGAUGGAUGGACCCGCUGUGCAUUAGCGAGUGGGUGAGGUAACGGCUCACCAAGGCCACGAAGCAUAGCCGAGCUGAGAGGGUGAUCGGCCACACUGGGACUGAGACACGGCCCAGACUCGUACGGGAGGCAGCAGUAGGGAAUCUUCGGCAAUGGACGAAAGUCUGACCGAGCAACGCCGCGUGAGUGAAGAAGGUUUUCGGAUCGUAAAACUCUGUUGUUAGAGAAGCGGUAUCUAACCAGAAAGCCCCGGCUAACUACGUGCCAGCAGCCGCGGUAAUUC